rnacentral:rRNA from 1 species
UACGUAGGGGGCAAGCGUUGUCCGGAAUCAUUGGGCGUAAAGAGCGUGUAGGCGGCCCGAUAAGUCCGCUGUGAAAGUCCAGGGCUCAACCCUGGAAAGCCGGUGGAAACUGUCAAGCUUGAGUCCGGAAGAGGCGAGUGGAAUUCCUGGUGUAGCGGUGAAAUGCGCAGAUAUCAGGAGGAACACCAAUGGCGAAGGCAGCUCGCUGGGACGGUACUGACGCUGAGACGCGAAAGCGUGGGGAGCAAACAGG